rnacentral:rRNA from 1 species
GAUGAACGCUAGCUACAGGCUUAACACAUGCAAGUCGCGGGGCAGCAUGGGGGUUGCUUGCAAUCCCCGAUGGCGACCGGCGCACGGGUGCGUAACGCGUAUCCAACCUGCCCUUCACCACGGGAUAACCCGGCGAAAGUCGGACUAAUACCGUAUGUUGUCCAUUGACGGCAUCCGAUUUGGACGAAAGGCUUGGCGGUGAGGGAUGGGGAUGCGUCCGAUUAGCCAGACGGCGGGGUAACGGCCCACCGUGGCUACGAUCGGUAGGGGUUCUGAGAGGAAGGUCCCCCACACUGGAACUGAGACACGGUCCAGACUCCUACGGGAGGCAGCAGUGAGGAAUAUGGGUCAAGGGGCGUAAGCCUGAACCAGCCAAGUAGCGUGCAGGAUGACGGCCCUAUGGGGUGUAAACUGCUUUUAUGCGGGGAUAAAGUGGCCAACGUGUGGGCUUUUGCAGGUACCGCAUGAAUAAGGACCGGCUAAUUCCGU